rnacentral:rRNA from 1 species
CUUGCUCUCGGGUGACGAGUGGCGGACGGGUGAGUAAUGUCUGGGAAACUGCCUGAUGGAGGGGGAUAACUACUGGAAACGGUAGCUAAUACCGCAUAACGUCGCAAGACCAAAGAGGGGGACCUUCGGGCCUCUUGCCAUCAGAUGUGCCCAGAUGGGAUUAGCUAGUAGGUGGGGUAACGGCUCACCUAGGCGACGAUCCCUAGCUGGUCUGAGAGGAUGACCAGCCACACUGGAACUGAGACACGGUCCAGACUCCUACGGGAGGCAGCAGUGGGGAAUAUUGCACAAUGGGCGCAAGCCUGAUGCAGCCAUGCCGCGUGUAUGAAGAAGGCCUUCGGGUUGUAAAGUACUUUCAGCGGGGAGGAAGGUGUUGUGGUUAAUAACCACAGCAAUUGACGUUACCCGCAGAAGAAGCACCGGCUAACUCCGUGCCAGCAGCCGCGGUAAUACGGAGGGUGCAAGCGUUAAUCGGAAUUACUGGGCGUAAAGCGCACGCAGGCGGUCUGUCAAGUCGGAUGUGAAAUCCCCGGGCUCAACCUGGGAACUGCAUUCGAAACUGGCAGGCUGGAGUCUUGUAGAGGGGGGUAGAAUUCCAGGUGUAGCGGUGAAAUGCGUAGAGAUCUGGAGGAAUACCGGUGGCGAAGGCGGCCCCCUGGACAAAGACUGACGCUCAGGUGCGAAAGCGUGGGGAGCAAACAGGAUUAGAUACCCUGGUAGUCCACGCCGUAAACGAUGUCGAUUUGGAGGUUGUGCCCUUGAGGCGUGGCUUCCGGAGCUAACGCGUUAAAUCGACCGCCUGGGGAGUACGGCCGCAAGGUUAAAACUCAAAUGAAUUGACGGGGGCCCGCACAAGCGGUGGAGCAUGUGGUUUAAUUCGAUGCAACGCGAAGAACCUUACCUGGUCUUGACAUCCACAGAACUUUCCAGAGAUGGAUUGGUGCCUUCGGGAACUGUGAGACAGGUGCUGCAUGGCUGUCGUCAGCUCGUGUUGUGAAAUGUUGGGUUAAGUCCCGCAACGAGCGCAACCCUUAUCCUUUGUUGCCAGCGGUUAGGCCGGGAACUCAAAGGAGACUGCCAGUGAUAAACUGGAGGAA